UGAAUCGUGCACAUUUAACGCUCGCGUAAAAAAUGACGCCGAAAUCUUGACACACGUGCGUGGCCUGUUGCUGUACUACAGAUCUGAAAUAGACCUCGAUCUUUCGAAAAUCAUUAUGCCUACGAUCAGCAAGUGUGACACGAGGCAACAGAACUUUCUCAAUAGAAUUAAAUGGUCGAUGCUUUUCCCGCCAGAUUCCGCCAAAUAUACCGCUUGGAAUAACAUUAGCCAUUCAGUUUUAGAGACUCGAUUCCAUGGGUUGUAAAUCGUGUUGACUGAUCCAGAAGUAUUUGUUGUACUGCUAGGAUGGAUUUUGUAAAAUCUUUGACCGUUCGCGAAAGAACAUCGAAUUUAAACUUGGACUAUGACGUUAGUUUAUUACGAUUGAAGUGCUUGCCGAAAAAUCUCUUUCAUUGGGCAUCUCCAAACUUGACCACACCAGAUCCUGUAGAUAAUCCUCCAGUUUUUGCUGGAAAAUUUUGUAAUGCACCUGGUUCCAAAAAUCUUUUGGCCAUUGCCAAUGAAGAUGGUAAAAUUCUUUUGCAAGACAUAUCACAUAGAUGCAGUGAUGAUACACAAGAACUUCCUGAAGGCAUACAGGCUCACAACAAUGCUAUAUUUGAUAUAGCAUGGAUGCCCAAGGAAACAAAAUUGGUGUCUGUAUCAGGAGAAAGAAAUGCUGCGCUUUGGCAAGUUAAGGAUGGAGAAUUAACAAAACUGUCAAGCUUUGUUGGGCAUACACAUUCUAUUAAAAGUGUAUCAUUUAGACCUGAAGACAAAGCUGUUUUUGCUACUGGAAGUAGAGAUGGUUCAAUUAAAAUUUGGGAUACUAGAGCUAAUUACUCUAGUGCAUCCAAGGCUGAUGAUACAAUUAGUAAUGCACAUGUAUCAAAAAUGUAUAGAGCGAGUAGAAAAACAAAUAUAAAAAAUGUUGGUCUCAGUGUUACUACUCUUCAAUUUCAAGAUGAUUUUAAUCUAAUUUCUGGUUCUGAUGGAGAUGGUGAAUUGAAAGUUUGGGAUCUAAGAAAAAUUUACUCAACUCACAAAAAAUUCCCAGUUGCUAAACAUGUAUUGUUAUAUGGAGGAAAAAGUCAUACAUACUGUGGAUUCACAUCUGUACUUGUUGAUCCUUAUGGUCUGAACUUGUAUGCUAGCUGCGUAGACAACGUUAUAUAUUCGUAUAAUUUGACUUCCUAUAAUCCAAACCCAGUUGCAAGAUAUUAUGGGCAUGGAAAAACCAAUACUCCUUUAAGUUUCUUUGUAAAAGCUUGUUUGAGUCCAGAUGGAAAGUAUUUAAUAACCGGUUCAAAUGAUAAGGCAGCUUAUAUAUGGGCUACAAAAAAACCAGGAUAUCCUAUUAUCGAACUUACUGGUCACAGAGAAGAAGUAACUUGUGUGGCAUGGUGUGACGAUGUUAUUCCUAAACUUGUAACUUUUUCUGAUGACUGUUACCAUCGAUUAUGGGAAGUAGAACCUGAUCAAGAUUUCGUGGAUGAUAACCAAAUUGUAGGAAUGUCUGUGAGAUAUCAACCUAAAACAUCUAAUUCACCGAGAAAAUGUUCUGAACACGCAGACUUAGAAGCACAAGAUACAAUGCUUGGACAGACAAGUGAAGAAAUAAGUGAGAACCAUCAUAAAGAAACUCAUGAUGAAAGAUCAUUACUUGUCGAUGAAUCAUUAAUCAAUAACACAGUACCUGGAAGUAAAGAAUUACGUGCCAUUCCAUGUCCAUCAACUCCUAAAAAUACAAGUCUUCAGAAAUAUAUUAUACCUGGAACUAGUAACGUACCUUCAUCAAGUUCUUGCUCGAGUAGAGAACCCUUUUCUCCUACAGUAGGUUUGCCUAAUUUUGUAAUUGAUGGAAUAGCACCUCAUCUUCAUGUUUCACCUCAAAAAUCGAAGGAAAAUUCAAAUUGGCUUGCACAACUUACACAAGCCAAACAAAAACGUAAAAUUGUAGAUACAAGUGAAGACGAAUGUAGUAGUCCUAAAAAUACUAAAAAAACACCGAAGUCAGUGAAAAGAAAGAAAUUUGCAACUGUCAACACACCGAAACUCGACCGGAAACUUUUAGAUUUUUGUGAAAGUGCUAAGGACUCAAAUCAUCAAAAAUCUUCAUCAAGAUAAAUAUUUCUAGAAGAAAUUGAAGUUUGAAAUGAAAUUUUUUAGAAUUAUGGAAUCAAUAUUCUAUUGAAAUUUUGGAGUUUAGAAUAGUGUUAUUUGGAUUUAGAGGAGUAAAAUUUAACAAGUCACACCUAGAACUGAAAGAUAAAUAUAAAUUUUAAAGUUUCACAGAGAGGACCAGAAAAAGGAUGAAGAAAAAAGUGAAGAUGAAAAUGAAAACAUACAUCAAGGCGGCGAUUGAAAUCUCAAUAAUGUACAAAAGACAAACUCGAAAUACUCCGAACAAAUGAAUUUUUUUUCGUGUUAACUCAUUCGAAUAUUUAGGCCUGUGGUCUAAACGAAAUUUUUAAUUUCUACUAGAGAUUCUCGAAAUUUCAGGUAUGCACUCAAGCUACCAAAAAAGCUUAAGAGUAUUGAAGCUUAGUUUUUGAUGUGUUAAAAACGUUAAUGGUUGCGUAAAUAUCAUAGAACUGUAUAGAACGAUUGAGAAAGACUUUUAUGUAAAAUCGAAUACUCUAUAUUUUAUACACAAUUUUUACUAUAAUAUGAAUGUAAAUAGAAAUCGAAUCGAACAAAAUGUAAGCUUUAAUAGUUAUGCUCUGAACAAG
rnacentral:misc_RNA from 1 species